GCCCUCAAGAUGUCCGCCCGGCGGGCCCGGUGUGGGAGCGGCGUGGCGGGCGCGCCUGCGCCUUGAACCGAGCGGUGCAUGCCGGGCUCCCCCUUCCCGCCGUGACGCUGCAGAUAACGAGGCCGGUACCGUCGUCGUUUACCGUUCCUCAGCCGCCGGCUCCCGGCGAGAGGAUGGUGGGCGUGAAGGUGAUAGCGAACGACACCGAGUUCCAGCCUGAACUCAGCGCUGCCGGUUCCCGACUGGCUGUGGUGAAGUUCACCAUGCGGGGAUGUGGCCCUUGUUUAAGGAUAGCUCCAGCUUUCAAUGCUCUGAGUAACAAAUAUCCCCAGGCAACUUUUUUGGAAGUAGAUGUACAUCAAUGCCAGGGAACAGCUGCUACCAAUAAUAUAUCAGCAACACCAACAUUUCUGUUUUUCCGAAACAAAGUGCGAAUCGACCAAUAUCAAGGAGCAGAUGCUGUAGGUUUAGAAGAAAAAAUUAAACAACACCUGGAGAAUGAUCCUGGAAACAGUGAAGAUACAGAUAUCCCGAAAGGAUAUAUGGAUUUAAUGCCAUUUAUCAAUAAAGCCGGCUGUGAAUGUCUUAAUGAGAGUGAUGAGCACGGAUUUGAUAAUUGUUUACGUAAAGACUCUACCUACUUGGAAUCAGACUGUGAUGAGCAGCUGCUUAUUACUGUAGCUUUUAGUCAACCUGUCAAGCUUUAUUCUAUGAAACUUCAGGGGCCAGAUAAUGGGCAAGGUCCAAAGUACAUAAAAAUCUUUAUCAACCUUCCUCGAUCUAUGGAUUUUGAAGAAGCAGAAAGAAGUGAACCAACUCAAGCCCUGGAGCUGACACCAGAUGAUAUUAAAGAAGACGGGAUUAUCCAGCUUCGCUAUGUAAAAUUUCAGAAUGUUAACAGUGUAACUUUGUUUGUCCAAUCCAAUCAUGGUGAUGAAGAGACAACAAGAAUUACAUACUUCACGUUUAUUGGAACUCCAGUCCAAGCGACAAAUAUGAAUGACUUCAAGCGACUUAACCUCCCAUUUCUAAAGAACUAAAAAGGCAGAAGAAAUUAAAACAUAAUAAUAAGAUUGAAGUGGUCUUGCACUGCUCCCUUCCUUGCUCCCUGUGCUCAUCUAGCAUCUCUCACCCUUUCCACAGUCUCGGCACUGAUGCAAGAGCUGCCUUCUCUGCACCUUCUACCAUCAGGAACAGUCUUCUCUACCCUCUGACUCAUCAACUCAUCUUUCCCCUCCACUCCCCACUCCAAAUCUUACCUUAAAAACUUCUCUUUACCUUUCAGUCUUGCCAAAUUUCUGUCCCGCUGUUGUCUUGAAUUUGACAUUUUAAAGGCAUACCACGCAGUACUUUUACAAAUUAUUUUCUGUAACUCAGUUUCCAGCCUGUAUUGAAUUUUGUAAAGCUAUUUGAGAUGCAGCUUGUGAAAAGCUCUACCAAGACCUGACUUUUUUUAACCUUAGCGGAGCUUAGUGCCCUUUGUCAUUCAGUAAGCAGUAGGCAAGCCAGAAUGGCUGCAAAGUACUACUCUGUGUUGUCCCUCUUGUGGCGCUGAGCACCUGCUCGGGGAAGACGCAGUGAGGAGUUGAUAAUACACAUGGGCGAGUUGUCAUUGUCUACCUCAGACUGGUAGUUGGCAAAAAAGGAGAGAGCCACUAGGACGCAAAAGACACUGGAAGGCCUUAUCGCAAUCAAAGAGAUCUUCACUUUUAUCUACAACUCCUGGAUAAUUGCUUGACCAUAACCAGAGACUGUCAAUCUGUUUCAUUUAAUGCCAUUACCAAUAAAUCAUUGCUUUUGUUGAGAUGGAGUUUCCUUAGUGUGUUUCUGUUGUAAUCCUCGUACAUGUAUUUGUAAAUAAAAUUCAUUACUUUUGCCAAGUUUAAUUUUGUUAUUCUACUAACUGUGGCUCUUCCUUUGUUGUGUUUAAACUUCAAAACUCGCCUGGCUUAUCUUUAGAAACAGAAGACAUAACGUAGCUUGCAUUUGUUCGGAGAGUUUAAAAUGUCACACGUAAGUAAAACAUAAGACGGCCUUCAGGGGCCAUCUAAAAAUAAAUUCCGAGCUACUUUGUUAGGAGACAGAGUGCACUUAGGAUCAUUGUUCCUGUGAAAUCGGAGAUACCUCUCAGAUAGGAGUAACUUCACCUGUCUUGGAGAUUUCCCUUCUGCCCCUUGAGAAGCUGAGGAGGAGGAAGCAGCAUAUUUUAAGUUACCAUUCCAUUAACUUGCAGAUUUGUCACAAAUGGCAUGCUGAUGCCAGCUCUUUGGCACUGGUAAUUCUUGAGUCUUUUAAAAGUGUGUGGGGGUUUUUUUUUUUAAUAUUAGAAAAUAUUGACCUGGUUCCCCAGGCAGCCUCGAGCAAACUGUGCAGGUAUGGGGGUUCAGAUGUCUGUGCACCCCACCUGAACGUAAAUCACUUAUUUCUUUUAUUGGGUGGUUUUUCCUCUUUCUGGAUCUUGAUAAGGAAAUGUUUAUUGCAAAUACUAAUUUUAUAUCUUAAUUGGAAUUCCUAUACUACUUUUGGUAAAUUUUCUUGGAAGUAUGCCCUAAGUAAUUUUAAUAAAUGGGGCGUUGAUCAGUACCAUAUACGUAUAAUACUGUAUGAAUUCCCAGUAAAACUUGCUAAGUAUUUUAAUUGGCAUAAUUAAUUUCUUUGUAAAGUUAAAUUUGUUACAUUUCUAAUUACCAUAAAUCCCACUAAGGCUUAAAUCCUGUCCUAAUUGGCAUUCCUUCCUUGAACGCGGUAGGGUUGGUACUCUUCUGGCUUGGCAGAUCUGUGGCGAAUACCAAGUUAACUUUCCCUUAGCACAGAUAUUUCCUCCAAACAGAAAGCUGGAGAUUGUCUAGAAAAAGGCACUUUGUGGGUGUUUGGUGGGGUUUUUUUGGCUGUUUUUUGUUUUUGUUUUUUUGUUUUUACUGUACCACUGCCCCCACCAGGAUACUUGCCUACGUGUACUGGAGCUGAGGGCAUGCACUGGUGACUCGGUUCCUUCCAUGCUCCUGUUUGCUUCCCCGGGGCUGUAAGGCACGUAACACUGUAUAUAGAAUAUAAAUCGGUUUUAAAUAUAACUGAGGGCAAUAUGAAUAACUGUUCCUGUUUAUAAUUUUGUACACUAAUUACCUUUUGGUUAUCGUUUUAAGUGCCUCAUCUUAAGUAUUGCUUACCUCAUAAUAUUUAUACCUGAGAGAUUUGAUAACCUAGUGAUUCUCAUCUUUGUAAAAGUUUGGGCAGAUUUCUAUUGUUUAUGAGACUCUUCUGUGAUUUCCUUGGUUGCAUGAUGCAUACCUUCCGUAAUGAUGCUAUGUACAUAGAUCUAAAUAAACGUCUAGAGGUAA